rnacentral:rRNA from 1 species
CCUACGGGGAGCUGCAGUGGGGAAUAUUGCACAAUGGGGGAAACCCUGAUGCAGCGACGCCGCGUGAGUGAAGAAGUAUUUCGGUAUGUAAAGCUCUAUUAGCAGGGGAGAAAAUGACGGUACCUGACUAAGAAGCCCUGGCUAACUACGGGCCAGCAGCCGCGGUAAUACGUAGGGGGCAAGCGUUAUCCGGAUUUACUGGGUGUAAAGGGAGCGUAGGCGGCCAGACAAGUCAGAAGUGAAAGCCCAGGGCUCAACCCUGGGACUGCUUUUGAAACUGCCAGGCUGGAGUGAAGGAGAGGUAAGCGGAAUGCCUAGUGUAGCGGUGAAAUGCAUAGAUAUUAGGAGGAACACCAGUUGCGAAGGCAGCUUACUGGACUCUAACUGACGUUGAGGCUCGAAAGCGUGGGGAGCAAACAGGAUUAGAUACCCCAGUAGUC